AAGCGUGUUAUAACAAGAUGCCGUGAAGUUUCUUCUCACUACUACAAGAGUUUACUGGUUUUCAUAUAUUAUGUGCUUUAAAAAUACAAGUAUCGUUAUACCGAAUAAAAUAAUAAUGAUGAUUGACACCGAGAAUCAUACAGUCUAAUAACAAUGAUAUCGAUUCCGUGUUUAACUAUGCUUUAGUACUUUGAAGCUGUUUCUUUUUAAAUGUAUACUUGCCUCAGACGAUAAACUUAAACUUGUGUUUCAUGUGAUAAUUCAAUGCAAAGGUGAAGCUUUUGUUCUAACAUUGUAUCCUGCGUGGUCAUAGAACAAAGAAUUUUCCACGUGCAGUUACAGCAAGUUGCAAGGAUACGCGUGUACCUAUUAUUCAAGGAUUAACUGGCUGUAUGGGGAUAAUGGAGCAACAGUUAAUUUCUGGACGGAAAGCGAGUAACGCUAAUGGCGACUGUGCUGCUCAUAUACGGCGUAUGCAUAAUUUCGUUUAAACGAGGAUGGAUAGUAGCCAAGUUUAAUUGCGGACAUUGAUGAGAGUUCACUGAUCGAGAAACAGAGAAGGCACGUGCUACCGAAUGUUUAGUUUACUAAUUAAUUGUAACGCUGGAAUGAUCCUUCACUCUACUGAUACGACGCUGAUGGGGUAAGGAGACGCGAAGAUAGUUUUACCUGAAUGGGACUACCGGAACAAGUUAUAGAAACGAGGAGGAUUGUCUUCCACUUAGAGUUUCCUCAAGAUCCUCAUUGCUCUAAGUAUCCAGUAAUCUGACUUAAACAAGUCUUCUGGAUACAGUUUGAGAGGAGAAAUUAUAAAGCCACGAUCUACCAGACGCAUUCAAAAUUGUUUCUCUGGUUUGGAUAUCCACUUUCCGCCCGAAACAGACAUUCGCAAGCUAAAUCCACGUAAUCGUCCAACUCCUAAGUUCCCUAUAUCUAAGUUCCAUCUAUGUACAAUAGAUGUUUUGACAGCGUUCUGAAAACUAACCAUUCACAAAUUUCUAGUAUUUCUGGAAAAAAGAAGGUAAAUCUUUGAGGAAGUGAUAAAGGAUACGUAUAGAGUCGAGGAACACCGAUGCAGUUGAAUCUCUUGCGUGGAAGUUCGUUUCCGUCGCGGUGAAAAGUUUUAACGAAGAUACUUCAGCGGUAUUGGAUGCAUGUACCAGGCACUGGAACUUCUUGCGAAUCAAAUGGAUUUCCAUUUCCUUGAGAAAUUUGUCCUUACGAUGGCAUUGCGGCAGGACAGUACAAUUUAUCAAAGACGUAAUAAAGGAAAGCUAUCCUCUCCAGGGGGCAGUGUUACUGCUGGUAAGAGACGACGGCUCCAGUGGUGGGGAUAAAAACAAAGCAGGCGAAACGGAUAAAUUGGAAUUCCCUUGGGUAGGAAACAUGGAGUAACCUGCUUCCACCUUAUGUCUCAUUACGAACUGCCUGAGGUUCCUAAUGCACCUCGUUUAUCUGCCCUGCACUUCUUUUCCUUUCUACCUCGCUAACCACUUCUUCUGCUUUGUUCUACUUUUAUUAUUUUCACUGUCCCCAGUAAUGACAGUGGACACUGCUGAGGUUGGUUUGAUAUCUCUCUUGAAUUACCUUUGGGGUAUUGGCUGCCUUAAUACUAUUUUACUAUUGGUUGUAAAGUCACGUCAAUUUGUUCUAUACCUUGCUCAGAGUUCAGGAUACAUUUAAUAUCUUGUUUCAUGACAAUUCACUUGCAUUUAGUUUCACGAGAAUUCACUGGCUUCUACAGACAAAGGUACAGCAAGCUGGAGGAUUUUCGUUUAUGAAUAUUCCAGAAUUCUCACGUAGUGAAAACUACUUGCAAGUCGAUUCUUCAAGUAAGUUAUGGGGAGUACGGUAUAGGUACCUUUAGAGUUCGAUUUGAGAACUACCUUAUGAAAUCACGUGCCGUGUUACCUACAACUAAAAACUUGCAACCAAGAUGGCGGCUAUUGUGAAGAAUCUGAAAUUUAAAAGUUGAAACGCUUG